UACGGAGGGGGCGAGCGUUAUUCGGAAUUAUUGGGCGUAAAGAGCGCGCAGGCGGUCGUUCAAGUCGCGUGUGAAAGCCCCCGGCUCAACUGGGGAGGGUCACGCGAUACUGAUCGACUCGAAGGCAGGAGAGGGUAGUGGAAUUCCCGGUGUAGUGGUGAAAUGCGUAGAUAUCGGGAGGAACACCAGUGGCGAAGGCGACUACCUGGCCUGUUCUUGACGCUGAGGCGCGAAAGCUAGGGGAGCAAACGGG
rnacentral:rRNA from 1 species